rnacentral:rRNA from 1 species
GGAAUAUUGGUCAAUGGCGGCAACGCUGAACCAGCCAAGUAGCGUGCAGGAUGACGGCCCUAUGGGUUGUAAACUGCUUUUAUACAGGGAUAAAGUGCGCCACGUGUGGCGUUUUGUAGGUACUGUAUGAAUAAGGACCGGCUAAUUCCGUGCCAGCAGCCGCGGUAAUACGGAAGGUCCGGGCGUUAUCCGGAUUUAUUGGGUUUAAAGGGAGCGCAGGCUGAUGAUUAAGCGUGACGUGAAAUGUAGCCGCUCAACGGCUGAACUGCGUCGCGAACUGGUUAUCUUGAGUGAGUUCGAUGUUGGCGGAAUUCGUGGUGUAGCGGUGAAAUGCUUAGAUAUCACGAAGAACUCCGAUUGCGAAGGCAGCCAACAAGGCCUUUACUGACGCUAAAGCUCGAAGGUGCGGGUAUCGAACA